AUGACGUUUCUUCUGUGUGGCUAUUCUUAGUAGUUUACAUUCUUAGUUUGUCGUUGACUGUUAGUCGUCGUAACGUAAUUUUUUAUUUUGGUACGUAAAUAUCGUCGAAAAAUGUCCGAUAGUUCAAGUAGUGAAAUAGAAGAUCGACCAGAACCUCUGAAAAAGAGGCAACGGCGACCAGAAUCAUACAAAAGGAAUAUUAUCAAGAAAUCAAAAGUUAAGGGGUUUGAACAUAUCAACUGGAAAGAAAAAGUUUUGCCGCCACGUGCUACCGGACCCCGUUGCACAUGUAAAAUGGCAUACUUUGAAAAUCUUACUCAAGAUGAUUUGGCAUUUUGUAUUAGUAAAAUCAAUUCUUUUCAAACUAAGAAUGAACAGGAUAUUUUCAUGCAACAGCUUAUUGAAAAAAAAGCAGUGAAGACCCACCGACCACGUAAAGAAGGAGCUAUACCUAGAGAUUAUGCUUUCAAAUAUUUCAUCGUUACAAAAUUGAAAAAUAAAGUCGUAUGCAAGAAGGCGUUUAUCUCCAUUUUUGGCAUAACAGAAAACCGAGUAAGACGCCUAUGCGACCUACUUGUUAGAUCGGAAACUCCUCAUGACAAACGAGGCCAACAUCCCAAGGCCAAUACUACACGGCCUGAAAUUUUAAAAGAAAUACACGAUCAUAUUAUGGAUUUCCCUCGAAAUAGAACUCAUUACUCAGGCAAAGAUAUUGAAUAUUUAGAUGCAAGAUUGGAGGUUAAAACCAUGCAUGAUUUACUCAGAAGAAAACAUCCGAAUUUAAAAGUUACCUAUGCGUUCUACGCCAACUAUUUCAAAAACACUUUUUCUUUACGGUUUGGAAGACCAUUUGGUCGACACAUGCAUUACUUGUGAAGAAUUAGGGGUCAAAAUCAGGAGCCCCACUUUAGGACAUAGUGCGAAAAUGGCAGCCGACGCAGAGCUCGCGGUUCAUAAAAGACGAGCGAAAAAAUGUCAUAACAAGAUUGCAUCUGUAAAAGAAAUUUGUCAGAAUCGGGACCAUCUGGCUGCUUUAACGUUUGAUUAUAUGCAAAAUUUGCCACUCCCAAAUAUACCAAUACAGGAGAUAUUUUACCUUAGACAACUAUGGGUCAACUGUUUUGGGAUCAAGAAUCUCAAAACUAAUGAAUCCGUAUUUUAGGUUUACCAUGAAGGAGUGGCAAAUAAAGGUGCCAACGAGGUUUGUUCCAUGAUCCAUCACUAUUUGGAUAAUUUUUUGGGGGAAAAUAUCCAAGAACUUCACCUUUUCUCAGACAACUGUCCAGGUCAAAAUAAGAAUAAUAAAUAAGAAUAAUACAA